AAACGAUGAUCACUAACUAUUGGGUUUUGUACUUUUGUACGUUGUAAUUCAGUGGUGAAGCGAAAGUGUUAAGUGAUCCACCUGAGGAGUACGACCGCAAGGUUGAAACUCAAAGGAAUUGACGGGGGCUCGCACAAUCGGUGGAGCAUGUGGUUUAAUUCGUAGUACAUUUAAGUCUUGGUAAGGUUCCUCGCGUAUCAUCGAAUUAAACCACAUGCUCCACCGAUUGUGCGAGCCCCCGUCAAUUCCUUUGAGUUUCAACCUUGCGGUCGUACUCCUCAGGUGGAUCACUUAACACUUUCGCUUCACCACUGAAUUACAACGUACAAAAGUACAAAACCCAAUAGUUAGUGAUCAUCGUUUACAGCAUGGGGAGCAAACAGGAUUAGAUACCCUGGUAGUCCAUGCUGUAAACGAUGAUCACUAACUAUUGGGUUUUGUACUUUUGUACGUUGUAAUUCAGUGGUGAAGCGAAAGUGUUAAGUGAUCCACCUGAGGAGUACGACCGCAAGGUUGAAACUCAAAGGAAUUGACGGGGGCUCGCACAAUCGGUGGAGCAUGUGGUUUAAUUCGAUGAUACGCGAGGAACCUUACCAAGACUUAAAUGUACUACGAAUAAAUUGGAAACAAUUUAGUCUAGCGACGGAGUACAAGGUGCUGCAUGGUUGUCGUCAGCUCGUGCCGUGAGGUGUAAGGUUAAGUCCUUAAACGAGCGCAACCCUUAUUAUUAGUUGCCAUCGAGUAGUGUCGGGGACUCUAAUAAGACUGCCGGCGUAAGCCGAGAGGAAGGCGGGGACGACGUCAAAUCAUCACGGCCCUUACGUCUUGGGCCACACACGUGCUACAAUGAUCGGUACAAAAGGGAGCGACUGGGUGACCAGGAGCAAAUCUAGAAAGCCGAUCUCAGUUCGGAUUGGAGUCUGAAACUCGACUCUAUGAAGCUGGAAUCGAUAGUAAUCGUGCAUCAGCCAUGGCACGGUGAAUAUGUUCCCGGGCCUUGUACACACCGCCCGUCAAGCCAUGGAAGUUGGAAGUACCUAAAGUUGGUGUCCGUAAAAGGAGCUGCCUAAGGUAAGUCUAAUAACUGGGGCUAAGUCGUAACAAGGUAGCCGUACCGGAAGGUGCGGCUG
rnacentral:rRNA from 1 species